rnacentral:rRNA from 1 species
AAUGAACGCUGGCGGCAUGCCUAACACAUGCAAGUCGAACGAAGGCUUCGGCCUUAGUGGCGCACGGGUGCGUAACGCGUAGGAAUCUGCCCUUGGGUUCGGAAUAACAGUUAGAAAUGACUGCUAAUACCGGAUGAUGUCGUAAGACCAAAGAUUUAUCGCCCAAGGAUGAGCCCGCGUAGGAUUAGCUAGUUGGUGAGGUAAAAGCUCACCAAGGCGACGAUCCUUAGCUGGUCUGAGAGGAUGAUCAGCCACACUGGGACUGAGACACGGCCCAGACUCCUACGGGAGGCAGCAGUGGGGAAUAUUGGACAAUGGGCGAAAGCCUGAUCCAGCAAUGCCGCGUGAGUGAUGAAGGCCUUAGGGUUGUAAAGCUCUUUUACCCGGGAUGAUAAUGACAGUACCGGGAGAAUAAGCUCCGGCUAACUUCGUGCCAGCCGCCGCUGUAACAC